rnacentral:rRNA from 1 species
GAUCUUGGUUCAGGACGAACGCUGGCGGCGUGCCUAAUACAUGCAAGUCGAACGGCUUUUCUAUGGAAGCUUGCUUCCACUGAGAAGAUAGUGGCGAACGGGUGAGUAACACGUGGGUAACCUGCCCAUAAGAGGGGGGAUAACAUCCGGAAACGGGUGCUAAUACCGCAUAGUUUUCUUGAUCGCAUGAUCGGGAAAGGAAAGACGGCCUUUGUGCUGUCGCUUACGGAUGGACCCGCGGCGUAUUAGUUAGUUGGUGAGGUAACGGCUCACCAAGACGAUGAUACGUAGCCGACCUGAGAGGGUGAUCGGCCACAUUGGGACUGAGACACGGCCCAAACUCCUACGGGAGGCAGCAGUAGGGAAUCUUCCGCAAUGGACGAAAGUCUGACGGAGCAACGCCGCGUGAGUGAAGAAAGGUUUUCGGAUCGUAAAACUCUGUUGUCAGAGAAGAACAAGUUGGAGAGUAACUGCUCCAGCCUUGACGGUAUCUGACCAGAAAGCCACGGCUAACUACGUGCCAGCCGCAGC